rnacentral:rRNA from 1 species
ACAGGGGGAUAACACUUAGAAAUAGGUGCUAAUACCGCAUAAGCGCACGGUUCCGCAUGGAACAGUGUGAAAAACUCCGGUGGUAUACGAUGGAUCCGCGUCUGAUUAGCCAGUUGGCGGGGUAACGGCCCACCAAAGCGACGAUCAGUAGCCGGCCUGAGAGGGUGAACGGCCACAUUGGGACUGAGACACGGCCCAAACUCCCACGGGAGGCAACAGUGGGGAAUAUUGCACAAUGGGGGAAACCCUGAUGCAGCGACGCCGCGUGAGUGAAGAAGUAUCUCGGUACGUAAAGCUCUAUCAGCAGGGAAGAAAAUGACGGUACCUGACUAAGAAGCCCCGGCUAACUACGUGCCAGCAGCCGCGGUAAUACGUAGGGGGCAAGCGUUAUCCGGAUUUACUGGGUGUAAAGGGAGCGUAGACGGCAGCGCAAGUCUGGAGUGAAAUGCCGGGGCCCAACCCCGGAACUGCUUUGGAAACUGUGCAGCUCGAGUGCAGGAGAGGUAAGCGGAAUUCCUAGUGUAGCGGUGAAAUGCGUAGAUAUUAGGAGGAACACCAGUGGCGAAGGCGGCUUACUGGACUGUAACUGACGUUGAGGCUCGAAAGCGUGGGGAGCAAACAGGAUUAGAUACCCUGGUAGUCCACGCCGUAAACGAUGAUUAAUAGGUGUCGGGGGGCCAAGGCCCUCCGGUGCCGCCGCAA